rnacentral:rRNA from 1 species
GGUCCUAAGGUAGCGAAAUUCCUUGUCGGGUAAGUUCCGACCUGCACGAAUGGUGUAACCAUGGCCACGCUGUCUCCACCCGAGACUCAGUGAAAUUGAAAUCGCAGUGAAGAUGCUGUGUACCCGCGGCUAGACGGAAAGACCCCGUGAACCUUUACUACAGCUUGGCACUGAACAUUGAACCUACAUGUGUAGGAUAGGUGGGAGACUUUGAAGAUGAGACGCUAGUCUUGUUGGAGUCGUCCUUGAAAUACCACCCUUGUAGUUUUGAUGUUCUAACGUUGGCCCCUGAAUCGGGGUUACGGACAGUGCCUGGUGGGUAGUUUGACUGGGGCGGUCUCCUCCCAAAGAGUAACGGAGGAGCACGAAGGUUGGCUAAGUACGGUCGGACAUCGUACGGUUAGUGUAAUGGUAGAAGCCAGCUUAACUGCGAGACAGACACGUCGAGCAGGUACGAAAGUAGGUCAUAGUGAUCCGGUGGUUCUGAAUGGAAGGGCCAUCGCUCAACGGAUAAAAGGUACUCCGGGGAUAACAGGCUGAUACCGCCCAAGAGUUCAUAUCGACGGCGGUGUUUGGCACCUCGAUGUCGGCUCAUCACAUCCUGGGGCUGAAGUCGGUCCCAAGGGUAUGGCUGUUCGCCAUUUAAAGUGGUACGCGAGCUGGGUUUAGAACGUCGUGAGACAGUUCGGUCCCUAUCUGCCGUGGGCGUUUGAGAAUUGAGAGGGGUUGCUCCUAGUACGAGAGGACCGGAGUGAACGAACCGCUGGUGUUCGGGUUGUCAUGCCAAUGGCAUUGCCCGGUAGCUACGUUCGGAACUGAUAAGCGCUGAAAGCAUCUAAGCGCGAAGCAGGCCUCGAGAUGAGUUCUCACUAGACUUUUAAAGUCUCUGAAGGGCCGUUGAAGACUACAACGUUGAUAGGCAAGAUGUGGAAGUGGUGUGAGCCAUUAAGCUAACUUGUACUAAUUACCCGUGAGGCUUAACCAU